rnacentral:rRNA from 1 species
GGGUCAGUAGGUUGGUCGUGCCACCGGUACGUACUGGUCUCACUGAUUCCUCCUUCCUGAAGAACCGUAAUGCCAUUAAUUUAGUGUUGCGGGGAAACAGGACUGUUACUUUUAAAAAAUUAGAGUGUUUAAAGCAAGCUAACGCUUGAAUACAUUAGCAUGGAAUAAUGAAAUAGGACGAUCGAUCCUAUUUUGUUGGUUUCUAGGAUUGACGUA